GCCCGCUCGCCGGCCGACAUGGCGGUCGGCCGGUUGCGGCGGUUACGAGCCCGGGGCUCCGUGCGCCUCUGGAAUGUCCGGUUACGUAUGAAUCGGCGCGUUCCGCGUAACCGUGGCCGCGCGUAAAAAUGAUCGCGCAGACAUCACCCUGCGAUUAUCUACUGGAGCAACGAUCCGAGUCUCGGAGAGAGAAGGCGCGAGGAGCGUGUGUGAAAAAAUACCGCCCUGUCGUCUUCGGUGGAAAUGCAACGGUAACAUAUACUUUAUUCGUUACUUUGUAUUAUAUACACACGACGCGUAAACAUCAACACUCAUGUCAGAGAAUAAUGUUGUAUCUCUUAUUAAAUAAAAAUAAACGUCCGGA